rnacentral:rRNA from 1 species
UACGUAGGGGGCUAGCGUUGUCCGGAAUCAUUGGGCGUAAAGAGCGUGUAGGCGGUCCGGUAAGUCCGCUGUGAAAGUCGGGGGCUCAACCCUCGAAUGCCGGUGGAUACUGUCGGGCUAGAGUACGGAAGAGGCAAGUGGAAUUCCUGGUGUAGCGGUGGAAUGCGCAGAUAUCAGGAGGAACACCUAUAGCGAAGGCAGCUUGCUGGGACGUAACUGACGCUAAGGCGCGAAAGCGUGGGGAGCGAACAGG